UGCGUAGGCGGUGCAGCAAGUCGGGAGUGAAAUACCUCAGCUUAACUGAGGAACUGCUUUCGAUACUGCUGUGCUUGAGUAAGACAGAGGUAAGCGGAACUUAGGGUGGAGCGGUGAAAUGCGUUGAUAUCCUAAGGAACACCGGUGGCGAAGGCGGCUUACUGGGUCUUAACUGACGCUGAGGCACGAAAGCCAGGUAGCAAACG
rnacentral:rRNA from 1 species